rnacentral:rRNA from 1 species
UACGUAGGGUGCAAGCGUUGUCCGGAUUUAUUGGGUUUAAAGGGUGCGUAGGCGGCCUGCUAAGUCAGUGUUUAAAUUCUGCAGCUCAACUGUAGGUAUGGCAUUGAUACUGGUGGGCUUGAAUAUCAGAGAGGUAGCUGGAAUUUAUGGUGUAGCGGUGAAAUGCAUAGAUACCAUAAGGAACACCGAUAGCGGAGGCAUGUUACCAUUUGAUGAUUGACGCUGAGGCACGAAAGUGUGGGGAUCAAACAGG